rnacentral:rRNA from 1 species
UCAAAAACGGGUAACCCCUUUUUAGAGUUAUUCAAUUUGAUAAUUGGAAUUAUAUAAAUUUAUAUUAAUUAUGGGAAUUUAAGAUUUAUCCAGUUAAAAAUAUUAACAAAUAAUAGAAAUAUCAAUUUAGUAACAAUAAAAAUCUAAGGUUUAUUAGGUGCCAGCAACCGCGGUCAUACCUAAUUAAAUUUAUAAUUACUUUUAGUGAAUUUUCUAAAGGAAAAAUUAUAUUAACAUAGUAAAAUAUUUUAUAUAAAUAACUCUUUUUCCUUUAAUAAAAGAAAACCUCUAAAGCCCAAGCAAAAACUAGGAUUAGAUACCCUAUUAUUAAGGACUACAAAAACCACUGAGGAUUAAGAUAAAAAUAUUGAAACUUAAAAAUCAUGGCGGCUAUUGGAACCUAUUAGGGGAACUUACCUAUUAAUUGAUAACCACCAAGAUAUUCUACGUUUUAAAAAAGCUUGUAUGCCGUCGUCUUUAAGCUUUUUAAGAAAAUUUAGAAAUAACUUUUUGGUUUUAUGACAGAUCAAGGUGCAACUAAUAAAAAUGGAAAAGGCGAGUUACAAUAAUAACUCUCUUCAAUUAGAUAUAUUUAGAAAGUAAAAUCUAAAGAUGGACUUAAAAGUAAAAAUAAAAUCAAAAUUAGAAAUUGAAUUUAUAAUCUAUUAGUGU